CCUACGGGUGGCAGCAGUGGGGAAUAUUGGGCAAUGGGCGCAAGCCUGACCCAGCAACGCCGCGUGAAGGAAGAAGGCUUUCGGGUUGUAAACUUCUGUUGGCAGGGAAGAGGGGAAGACGGGACCUGACGAAUAAGCCACGGCUAACGACGUGCCAGCAGCCGCGGUAAUACGGAGGUGGCAAGCGGUGUCCGGCUUUACUGGGUGUAAAGGGCGUGUAGCCGGGUUGACAAGUCAGAUGUGAAAUCCUGCGGCUUAACCGCAGAACUGCAUUUGAAACUGUUGAUCUUGAGUACUGGAGCGUCUGGUGGCCUUCCUAUUUUAGCGGUGCCAUGCGUAGAUAUUAGG
rnacentral:rRNA from 1 species